rnacentral:rRNA from 1 species
AGGACGAACGCUGGCGGCGUGCUUAACACAUGCAAGUCGAGCGGAAAGGCCCUUCGGGGUACUCGAGCGGCGAACGGGUGAGUAACACGUGAGUAACCUGCCCUAGACUUUGGGAUAACCCUCGGAAACGGGGGCUAAUACCGGAUAUGACGACUCACCGCAUGGUGUGGUUGUGGAAAGUUUUUUCGGUUUGGGAUGGGCUCGCGGACUAUCAGCUUGUUGGUGGGGUGAUGGCCUACCAAGGCGACGACGGUUAGCCGGCCUGAGAGGGCGACCGGCCACACUGGGACUGAGACACGGCCCAGACUCCUACGAGAGGCAGCAGUGGGGAAUAUUGCACAAUGGGCGGAAGCCUGAUGCAGCGACGCCGCGUGAGGGAGUGACGGCCUUCGGGUUCGUUAAACCUCUUUCAGCAGGGACGAAGCGAGAGUGACGUACCUGCAGAAGAAGCGCCGGCCAACGUACGUCGCCGAGACACGCCGACGGU